CUGACUUUCAAAGUGGAGGUGCGUUCAGGUACACUCGGAAAUUAGACUUUACAAAUGGCGUGCAAUGGAAUGCAUAAACAAACAUCUGCUUUUGUUUACAGCUAUGAAACUGUGAGCAGAACUUUGUUGAAGAAGCUGAAGGUUGGUGACAGUGGGAAGGAAUGACUCCACUUUAACAAGAAGAAACUUCCAAAAGAACCAGAACCAGGAUGAGCAGCUCAUCUGCCUCGACACAAACAAACAGCAAGUGGUCCAGGUGUGGUUCUACUGGAGGAAAAACACAGGUUAACCUAAUCCUGAUGCACUGUUCUCUCAAAGAGGUGGARGAUUGCAGAGGAGCCUCAUGAUUAAACUCCAAGUUGCUGUACGUCAUCCUAAGCCCCUGUAAGCAGCCUGAUCCAAUUUACAGAAAUCCCCCCACACAAGAUGAGCCUGAUUGUAAGCCGCUGCCAGGGACCAUAAUUGGUUUGAGGGUUCACGUGGUUGCUGCCACCUCCGUGAAAACGCACCAGGAGAUGAAAGUUCGCAAAGAUCACGGACAUGGCAGCGGAGCUAAACGUGAGGCGUACCCAUUCACAGGUGCGGGGUCCGCGGCGCGAACCGGAUCUCUUCACAGAGAAGCAAAUAGGCUGAAUCAGUGAAGCUCAAUCAUUGACAAAAAUGCUGUCAGGUCGAUACAUCGACYGCUGCACGUUCAGUCAGUGACAAAUAAAUCAUUCUUUCCCAAGUGACCCCACACCAGAAUGGAAAUAGAUUCAAGAUUAAACUUUAAAAAUUA